CUUAUGAGAGCAGCUGCUAAGAUGUCCAGAGCGUAAGUACUGCUCGAUGGCCAUAAACAUACUAUUGCCCUUCUCUUAAUCCUCCUGACUGCAGACUGUCAGCAAUGCUAUUUCUGCUCCAUUUUGUUCCUCUGUUAGAAAUUCAAGCCAAACCAGACUAGGUCAGGCUACACCAGAGAGGGAUUGAACCCAAGAUGACUGGACACUCUGAGACAGUGCUGCCUCCAUCCUAAACAGUUUCCAGCUCAAAAGCCUUGGAUAACAACAGGGCAAAGAAGAGGAAGAACUUUGUGUGUUUAAUGAUUCAUUGACUCAGCUGUUUCAGCCAAGGUCCUGGCAGGCAGCUGCUGCAUCAGAGAUGGCACCAGUAGCCUUUGGACCACGCUCCACAGAAGGAGUGCUAAAGCAAUGGAUGGAGAAGAGGAGCUGAAAUACCUUUCCACCCUGACCAGCUCCCAUGGGAAAGGAGUUUGAGGAAGGUCAUAGCAUGUAUGGAAAACCUAUAGUAAACAUACAGAGAGUGUAAAUUAUUUAAUAAACACACUUUUUUUGGAGCAUCCAAUUUAGCAUCUUUCUCCAUCAUUCAAUGAAUCCACUGCCUAUAAAUAAAACAUAUUAAUAAUCUAAUAUCAAAAGUAACUAUUUUGUUCUAUGUUUUGCUACUGGUAAUGUAAAA